rnacentral:misc_RNA from 1 species
GAUGAAGAACGCAGCGAAAUGCGAUAAGUAGUGUGAAUUGCAGAAUUCAGUGAAUCAUCGAAUCUUUGAACGCACAUUGCGCCCUUUGGUAUUCCUUAGGGCAUGCCUGUUCGAGCGUCAUUUAAACCUUCAAGCCCUGCUUGGUGUUGGGUGCCUGUCCCGCCCCCGCGCGUGGACUCACCUCAAAUCCAUUGGCGGCCCCCGCAAGGCCACGAGCGCAGCAGAAACGCAAACUCGUGUGCCCGGCGGGCGGCUCCCAGAAGCUACACCCACCAUUUUGACCUCGGAUCAGGUAGGGAUACCCGCUGAACUUAAGCAUAUCAAUAAGCGGAGGA